rnacentral:rRNA from 1 species
UACGUAGGUGACCAGCGUUGUCCGGAUUUACUGGGCGUAAAGCGCGCGCAGGCGGUCCUUUAAGUCUGAUGUGAAAGCCCACGGCUCAACCGUGGAGGGUCAUUGGAAACUGGGGGACUUGAGUACAGAAGAGAAGAGUGGAAUUCCACGUGUAGCGGUGAAAUGCGUAGAGAUGUGGAGGAACACCAGUGGCGAAGGCGACUCUUUGGUCUGUAACUGACGCUGAGGCGCGAAAGCGUGGGGAGCAAACAGG